UACACAUGCAAGUCGAGCGGUAGCAUUUCUAGCUUGCUAGAAGAUGACGAGCGGCGGACGGGUGAGUAAAGCAUAGGAAUCUGGCCAAUAGAGGGGGAUAGCCCGGAGAAAUCCGGAUUAAUACCGCAUACACUCUAUGGAGAAAAAGCAGGGGAUCUUCGGACCUUGCACUAUUGGAUGAGCCUAUGUCGGAUUAGUUAGUUGGUGGGGUAAAGGCCUACCAAGGCAGCGAUCCGUAGCUGGUCUUAGAGGAUGAUCAGCCACAUCGGGACUGAGACACGGCCCGAACUCCUACGGGAGGCAGCAGUGGGGAAUAUUGCACAAUGGGCGCAAGCCUGAUGCAGCUAUGCCGCGUGUGUGAAGAAGGCCUUAGGGUUGUAAAGCACUUUCAGUAGUGAGGAAAAGUGUUGUGUUAAUGGCGCAAUGCUGUGACGUUAGCUACAGAAGAAGGACCGGCAAACUCCGUG
rnacentral:rRNA from 1 species